rnacentral:sRNA from 1 species
UUCUUCAUUGUACUCCAGGAGGUAGGUACAGGGAACACCUCUCAUGAUAGAUGGUCUCUUUGUGGAUCAUCACCAUGAGGAUAAACAGCUUCAUCGGACAGAUUUACAGACCUUAGUACUCUACCUUCCUGCAUCUGUCUGAGGAACUGACGAUAAUGGCCACAUCAUCAUGAUUCCAACAUCAUUAUGAUGACACAGUGCACCUUUCCUGGGGCCUUGGCAAUGAGACCUGACAUUCUGGGAUUCACACAACAGCAGAUCUGAGACACAAGUCUUGAGGGCCAAUGUGUCUGUUGGCGCUCACUAUAGAACUUCAUCAGAAGCUAAAGACCCUCCCUGGUUAUAAGGGCCUUCGUUACCGGGCUUGGCUAUCUGAAGUGUCCCGUGUUUAGUCUGCUCAGUGAGUGGAUGGGAAGGAUGUUUUGUUUGGCAUGCUUAUUUAGAAAUUAGCUUCUCAAUUGGAAUCACUUGCGAUUUGAGUGUCAACUCCUAUAAGGUGAUGGAGAUGACAUCAUACAUACCAUCCUCCCUUUGGAAAUAGAAACAGAUUGACCCAGACCACACUUAGCAGACUGUCUCCCUUUCUUUAAAACCAUGGUUCCUUUGUUUACCACUAUUUUCAUUUCCUACUUCAGGGUUUUUCUUCACUCUCAGCUAUUGUUAAGGAAAUUUUUCAGUCAAGCCCCAAGCAGUAGCAAGUCCCACCUGGACUCUGACUCACGAGAGAACUCUCUGAAUUAAGAAGAGUGAAAUGGAUAAACUUGAUGGGAAGAGGCAACUUUCACUCAGAAAAUGGCUUUCCAACAGGGAAGAAAGAAAGGAUCAUUCUAAACAACAAGUUAAAAGGAGAGCAAUUUAGUGGAGAGUAAGGGGGAAGAGGACAUACUACUGAGGAGAGUCAGCAUGGAAAGCAGCCUAGGUCAGCGUAUCCAGGAAGCUAGCUGCCAUCAUGGAGACUCCAACACCAAGUCUCCAAAGUGAUGGAAAUCAGAAGCCGACCUGAGGGUCAGAGUUGAGGCUUCAUGAAAGAAGUGAAAGACAGACAAUGUAAACUGGAGAAGUCUCAAUGGGUUUGCUCUAGAGAGUUUCCUGUGGAGACCAUAGUGGGAAGUUACCUGCUUCCUAGGUGAAGAUGGACAGUCAGAUGGACAGACAGACAGACAUGCAGGAUAAGCCCUAGGACCAAAUGAAAGAAGGAAGAUGGAAGGUUCCAUGGACUGUUUUCAGAAGCAACAUGCAGGCACUUGGUGGCACUUACUACCAUCUCUGGAACGUGGUGUGGCUGAUGGGCUUGUGAUGGUGUAACAUGUAGUUUUAAAAAACAAACCAUGGUAAACCGGCUAUAUACUGGCAUGGGAGGUCUCACCCACCUCGAUGGUGCCUGAGGCCAGCCUGCUGUUGAGCUGCUCACACUUCCCAGGUCAUCCACCCACUGUGGCUAGCCUGUGAAAGACAGUUACCACCCACUCAGAUUCCCUUAGCCCCAUAAAAUGAUAACACUAGAGACUUGCAAUGUGUCAACCAUAUUUAUAAACAGUAAAUCUCCAGCCCCAAAAUGCCAGU